UGUGACGGUCCAGGAAUCCGGGGGUCUGGAUUCUGACGUCACCACAUAAAACCCAUUUUUAAACACUCUUGAAAACCUGUAUUUUUUUUUCUUUUAAAAGAUAAUGGAAAUCCAAAUAAUUUAAAACCGGAAAAUAUUUGAAAAAGAACAUAAAUCAAAUGAUUUCAAAACCUGAAUUUCAAACUUGAAAGCCAUAAUAAGAGAAUUUCAAGAGAACAUUUAAACUUUAAUAAAUGAUUCGAAAGAGAACAUUUAAACCCCCUAAAAUCAACAGGAUCGCAUCCAGGUUACAGUAUUGAAAUUAGAAUCAACCACUAAUAUUACACAACAUCUCUUACCAAAUCAGAUCAUCUUCGAUAAGAAGAAUCACUGUCAACUAUUCCAGCUAUGACUUACACUUGAAUUUCCAUAGCACAGCUCUAGCUUGCACCAACCUCAUCAACUUUCCUGAACACUCCUCGACCACCGGAUCCUCAACUCUGUCUCCUCGCCUAGCAUUAGCCUUACUCACAAUCUCAAUCAAUCAUCUUAUCUUUCAGCCUUUCUGAAAUGGUUAGAAAGGAAUAGCAAGGGUGAGCAACAAUGCUCAGCAAGUAAUAAUAAACAAUGAUAGUUCUGAAAUGAUAUAAUAGAAGUUCACGAGUUCAAGAUAUAAGAGGAUUCAACCUGAGUUCAUGAGUUCAUGGUAUUGUAUAGAAUGAUUUACAAUACCUUGCAGCAUUUAAACUGAGAAAUUCAAUCUUUCCAAAGAAUUAUUGAAUUGGACUAUCACAUUUUAAUUAAAACCAAGGUUAGGCAGCUGAUCAGUUCUGCACUAACCCCGAGCAGGCCCCGCCAUGCUCUAUCACUG
rnacentral:lncRNA from 1 species